rnacentral:ncRNA from 1 species
AAAACAGCCCUUUUCAGGGCUACCCCCUUAAAAAAAAUGUCAUAUU